rnacentral:rRNA from 1 species
UACGUAGGGGGCAAGCGUUGUCCGGAUUUAUUGGGCGUAAAGAGCGUGUAGGCGGCCAGACAGGUCCGUUGUGAAAACUCGAGGCUCAACCUCGAGAUGUCGAUGGAAACCGUCUGGCUAGAGUCCGGAAGAGGAGUGUGGAAUUCCUGGUGUAGCGGUGAAAUGCGCAGAUAUCAGGAAGAACACCCGUGGCGAAGGCGGCUCUCUGGGACGGUACUGACGCUGAGACGUGAAAGCGUGGGGAGCGAACAGG